UCCUACGGGAGGCAGCAGUGAGGAAUAUUGCGCAAUGGGCGAAAGCCUGACGCAGCGACGCCGCGUGGAGGAUGAAGGUCUUAGGAUUGUAAACUUCUGUUAAGCGGGAAGAAAGACGAAGUGUUAAUACCACUUUAUGAUGACGGUACCGCUAAAGAAAGCACCGGCUAACUUCGUGCCAGCACCCGCGGUAAUA
rnacentral:rRNA from 1 species